rnacentral:siRNA from 1 species
AGGUUCUCGAUUAGUUUCUCGCC